CAAUAUUCAGGUGUAUUUUUACUCGCACUCGAGUAUUUUAUUAUGACUCUUUUAAGUUGUUGUGAUUCACAAGGUAAAAGGUGCAUCAACAUAUUGUUAUCAAAAGUAAUGAUAUUGUAGGUUAUAUAUAUAAAUAUACAAAAUAAGUACACCAUUCUAGAAGUAACAUUUUUCCGAACUGUAAUUUUUUCUGUCAGGUAUACAUACUCGGUCAUUUUGCGGGCUUAUCGAGCAGCAUUUUGCGUUCAAGCUACUUUUAAUUAAAGAUUAAAGUUUCUUAUCAGGCAAUAACUGCAAUUCAUGUACAUAUGUAUGUACAAACAAACAUCACAUAAAAGCGAUCCCAAACAGUACAUUCAUAUGUACACUAAAUAAGAGAAUUUGUCCAGUACAAAUGCUAAAAAUCGGGGACAUAUGUACAUAUACAUAUAUGUGUAUGCAUGCGUGCCUAUGUAGUACAUUACAUAUGUACACUAAAUAAGAGAAUUUGUCCAGCACAAAUGCUCAAAAUCGGGGACAUAUGUACAUAUACAUAUAUGUGUAUGCAUGCUUGCCUAUCUAGUACAUUGCAUAUGCACGAUAUAUAUUAUAAAUUAAAGUUUUAAAACCACAAAAAUAGCUUCGGUAAGACAACACUGGUGUCUAACUUCUUAC
rnacentral:lncRNA from 1 species